AGCCUCUGGUCCCCUUUCACAUCAGCCCUUGGUGCUAGUCCUUUUGUUUGUAAUGGAGGAAGAGUACUCUGAGCUGGCAUCAUAUGAUGUAUUCUGGUAUAGUGCACAGGGCCAGAUUCAAACCUGC
rnacentral:snoRNA from 1 species